AACGAUGUACAACACAACCAAUUUCACGAUAUUCAAGAUGUAGUUAUGAAAUGCUUAAAACACUAGAUGAUACCGGAGAUACUAAUUUGGUUUCCUUCGUUAGAACUAUUCUUUUUAGUCAUGGCUUUGGAAAUGU